rnacentral:snoRNA from 1 species
AGGCCAUGAUGGGGACACUUGCGUAAUAGCUCCUUGAACCUUUCCCAUGUUUCAUAUAAAGAUUCCCCGUCCACUUGUGAGUAU